rnacentral:lncRNA from 1 species
UCUCUGCUUGAGUUUGUGUCUUCAUGUUUCUGUGUGUUUGGCUUCGGUCCUGCUGGAGAGCGUGAAGCAGACCCACCCGCUCUCUCUCACACACACACACACACACACACGGCCCUCCUCCUCCAGAUACAGGACACUUUUGUUCUGUGUUUUCAUCAGGAGUCCAGUGAAUCGAGAGCGAGAGACAGUGUGACAGAAGAGACGCUUCCACAGACGCUUCAGAGCUCAAGUCAAAGGUCUGUCAUGGGCCGCUGGUCGACACGUCUGGCUCUUCUGAUGCUCCUCAUUGGUCAGAUUUCUGCAGAGACGAGCAGCAGCUCAAACGCCUGUCAGGAUCAGAACGCUCUUCAUGACCGGAUGGAUGCUGUAGAGAAGCGGGUGGAGGACACUCUUCAGAAGCUGGAGGCUGAGCUGGCUCUUCUGCUGGACGCUGUUGAGGCCCCUGAGUGGAGCCCCCUGCUGGACAAACCCCUCAUCGACAUACUGGACGAGCCGCCGGCAACAGACUCAUGAGAACAUAAUGAUCAUCAGAGGGUUAAAUAUGAUCCAGACAUUUCUUCACACGACAAUAACGGGACAGAGCUGAUCAUUUAGUUCUGAUCCUAUAAUGAGUCAAAACAGGGUUUAUUUUUAAGCUUUUCACAUUAAAAUUAAAUGAAUCAUUUAUACCAUUUUACUGAGUGUCAGUGGUUUCUUCUAGCGUUUGUUUAGAACUGAUGAUUUAAGGAACCACUGAUGAUGUUCCCAUAAUCAAUCAUUGUAUGCAUGCGAAUAUACAAAAAUAACACAUAAGAUGUUUACAGUGUACAUUAAUUUUUCUGGGUUCUCUUUACUUCAUUAUAUCCAGUUGCCUGUUCAGACUCCCAGCAAGCAUUGCUCUUAUGUGCUGUUGCUUCUGUUGUUAGUUUUAGUAACUUGUUUUGUUGUGUUCAGAGUUUGUCAUUUUGUUUUAAUGCACUGCAUCUCACUAGUCUCUCUAUGCUAGAAUUACUGUCAUAAAAUCAUUUUUCACAUUAUGAUCUGACUGAUUCAUGUUGUCAUGAAUAUGCGCUGACUUGGAAUGUUAAUAAACUAAAAAAAAAAAAACUAACACCAAUUUUUGACAUCCAACUCAAACUGUGUCCAAAAAAAAAUGUUGUCUUAAAUUUUUUCCCUUCUCUUAAAACAAUUUUUUUUUUGGAAUAGAGAAAAAGGGUUUUUAAAGGGACAAAAAAGUUUUUGAAUAGAAAAAAAAAUUGAAGGGAAAGAAAUUUAAGAGAACGUUUUUUGAAUAGAAAAAAAAAAUGAAGGGAAAGAAAUUUAAGAGAACGUUUUUUGAAUAGAAAAAAAAAAUUGAAGGGAAAAAUUUAAGAGAAAAAAGGUUAAGACCACCAAAAAUUGGGAGAAAAAAAUUCUGAUGUAUAGAGAAAAA